UUGUUACAGUGUUCAGCUCCUCAAAAGCUUGUGUCCCGGUGGAGAUCUGUUUUGCUCCAUAAUUCCAUGCUGUAUUCCAGGCAGUAGAAGAAGACUUUGUGGAAAUGCGCAAGAACAACCCUGAGAGUGUCACUGCUGAUGACCUGCACAAAAUGCUGCUCGUGGCCAGGUUCCUGUCGCUCAGUGCGGGGCAGACGACGCUGUCGAGGGAGAGGUGGCUGAGAGCAAAGCAACUCGAGGCACUGAGGAAGGCCAGGCUGCAGCAGCAGCAAUGUGUCAAUGGCAAUGAACUUUAACACCUGCUGGAUGUCACUGAAAAUUUCUCUAAUCCUAGGUGGAACCCAUACUAAGAUUGGAAUAUUGUUUAUACCAGUUUUUGUAGAUAAUUUAUACCAAAAAGUUAUGGAUAUUCACCCUGGCAGUCUGAACACGCUUAACUCUGUUCAGCCACCUAAACAUAUUUUAUGGAAUUUUUUUGGACCCUGUUUUGUAAUUGAAAAUUGGUAACAUUGAGCAAAUUGUUUGAUAUUAAACUUUAAUACUGAGCUUGUGUAAA